CCCCAACGGGACACUACCCCACAGCUCCUAUGGGUGCCUAGCGUAGAGCUAAUCCACGUACGCCCUCUAUCCUAUAUGAUUCCCCAAACUCAUGCUUAACCUUAACAUCAUUCACUUAUCCAAUCUCAUUCUCAUUCACUUUCACUCUCUUAUUCUCAUUCCUUUACACUUAGACUCGUACUCAUACUCGUUCACUAGACGCCACCCGUUAUCGGUGUCACACAAAAUACACAUCGCACUCAAGGUCUACUUACAGUAACAUUAACAAUCAAUACUCAUCUAUCAUCUUAGCAUUCGCUUCUUUUUAGCAUCCUAGCUUUAAUCACAAACAACACAUGGGACUACACAUCCAAACAUACAAGCAUCACCCAUCAACCAAUCAACAUCACCACAACAUAAAUCAGUUCAUU
rnacentral:lncRNA from 1 species